ensembl:lncRNA
CUUAGUCUUUCACCUGUGUCCUUUUUAGGAAAACACUUCUUCACCUGUUCACCCCAGCAAAACACCAUCCAACACAACGAACUCUCCAGAGAACCCUCAAGUUUCCACUUCACACCCCCUCGCCCUUUUGAUCUUAAUGGUAAGGCUCUCAUCAUCAACUAACCAAGACUUUGGCAUUUUCUGGCUCCUGAAACCUCACUCUUGCAGCCCUCCCUUCCACACUGAAGUGUAUGUUCAUACUGGCUGACGACAUCCUGCAUCCCCUCCUUGACUCUGUCUACUCUUUUUAAUGAGCAAACAUCAGCUUAUUUUGAUUGCACCCCUUUGAUGAACAACGCUGGAUUCUGCUAGACACAUUGACAUGCCAGAGGUGAUAUUUUUUCCUUGAGUGACUUAAAAUUCAGCCUUUCUCCUCCAAGUCUUCCUGUCUGGUUACUAUGAAUUCCAUUCCAGAACCAUCCAAGGCCUACUGAUGUCAAAGCACCUGAACUGGGUCCAUUUUCUCAGGCAAAAGAGGAGACAAAUUAGAGAGUAAGGAAAAACAAACAAAGAAAACCCCCAAAACAAAACGAACAAACAAACAAACAAACCCGGCAUGCAGUGUGAACCAGUUCCCUCCUCUCCCAUCUAAAGCAACCGUCAAGGAAAAAGUUCUGUUUGACAAAUGAUACCCAAGAAAAAGUGUUAGAAAGGCAGAUACCUGUUUAUGUUUGCUCCCUGGUCACAGAGCCAGGAAACGUGAACGGUUCCUGACUGCACCUUCAAGGUGUUUGGACGCUGUGAAAACGGGUGGGGUUUCAGACCCGGUUUCCUUCCCUUUCCCUUUGUGAAGUUCUAGCUCAGCUCUGUGCGUGCAGGUGUAGACCUGGGUGGUAUAGACAAACCCUGAAUAAUCCUGAGAUGAAGGACUAUAAUUCUUGAUUCAUCAUCUCUCAUCACACCCGAGAACAUUUAUUUUAUGAUCGAUUGAAAUACUCAAGAUGAACUGGAUGCUGCAACAGCUGCCCUCCUGGUUUAGGUGUUGUUCCUUCACGGAAUCCAUGUCUGAAUCUUCAGGAGACAAUCUUUAGGUGCCUCAUCUGACCAGUCCCAGUAGUGUUUCGCCUCUUAGCCUUGGCACUCCAGUUAUACUUCCUCUUGCGCUUGGCAGGGUAGCCACAUUUGCCACAGGUCGACUUCUGAAGGACAGGCCUUGGAGCCACAGCGGCAGCACAGCGUGUGCGUCUUAUUGUGACGCUUUCCAAAGGAUGACCUUCCUUUCGUCAUCUUGUUUCUACCAGCGAGGCUAAAGAGUCGAAUUUUCUUUUAGCCACAGUGCCCACUUCCUUUUGCAAGCACCUUUCCUUGAGUUUUAAAAGGGUCCUUUCCUCUACCCACCACAAGAUAUUUCCUGGAGGGGCUUAGUUUACACCCAUGUCUAACAGAAAGUCUAUACAUUUGACAAUCAAAGAAUUGAGAUGUGACAGGGAUUACGCUGCCACCUGCUGUGUUACUUCGGU